AAAAAUUUAAAAAAAAAAAAAAUUCCUUCUUGGUUCUUGCUUUUGACUGAUGAUGAAUUGCCAGAGAUCAAUGUGUCAUUUCCACCCUGGAACUUGAAUAGAAAAAUAGAAAUAUUAAGCCAAUAAAUAUAUGCGAUUCGGCAGAAUGCACAUCAAAACUCUUAGAUACGACAUUUUCCUCACAAAUAUGAUGAUGAAAUCAAGGAGAACUCUCCUAGGAAUUUAGGUUGUCCAUUUCAGUCCGCUUCAGAGAAUGUUUAUAUAUUGAUAUUGAUGGAUACCCAUCAAUCAAGAACAGCAAUAAAUUGGAAAAAAGUAAUGAGCUAGCUAGCGAAUAUCAUUUUUACUUCAAGAAAUAAUGGAGGCGUACGAUGAAGAAACAGGAGAGAGCUCCAUGUACAAAACAGGGGAAUUGAAGGAGCAGCCUCGUGAUACUGAGACAAAAAUGGCAGAAUUAAUUGAUAUCAAAGAAGAAUUGCAUAGAGCUAAGGACAAUGCUAUGCAAUCGUGGUUAGACUCCAAGCCACUCAUUGACGAGCUUGAGAAACUACAAGCAAAUCUUGCAAGUGCUAGAAACCGAACGUCUAUGUCUAAUAUUGUAAUCUCAGAGCUCAAAUCUCAGCUUGAGGCUAUCAGUAUUGAAAUCAGAACAAAAAUGGAGGAAGAAACUAAGUCCAAGAAGAUGAUCAAUGAAAUAACCCAAGACCUGGAACAAAAACACGAGGAAUCAGAACUCAUCAAGAAGGAUGCAGAUGAAGAGCAUAGAACAAGAUCGAAGCUGAAACAAGUCCUGAGGAUGAGAAGGCAGAGUCUACGAACAUUACAGCUGACGCUGCAAGCCAUCAGUUUAGAAUCUGAUGCUUUUGGAGCAUCUGCAGUAGAGGCCUUAGCACACGUCAAGAGUUCAGAAACAGAUAAUACUAUUGUUCGAAUCAGUCAAGAAGAGUAUCAUGCCUUAACAAGAAAAGCCAAAGAAGAAACAGCACUUGCAGAAUGGAGGGUUUCUGUGUCCAUGGAACAGAAACUUGCAGCUGAGGAAAGCCGAAACUUUGCGUUAUCAAGAUUGAAGGAACUAAGGAGAAAGAAAAGGAAUAAAGAGGAAAAGAUUAUAAAUGAAGAAGAAGUUGAAGAACAGCAAUCUCCAGUCAAGGUCAUGAACAGCGGAAUUGAUUUUCCUAAAGCUCGAGCUCAAGCAAUUGGGAAAUCUAAGCAGAGGAAGCCACAGCAACAGAGAAGAAAAUCAGUAAUGAAAAGCAAGAAAAAGAAACUAUCCAUUUUUAAUCGAAUACGAAGUUUUCUUGUUCGAAGUAUUGCAAGAUUGUUUAGAUAACUUGAGAGGAUUAUUGAAAAUGGCAAGCCUGUGUGAACCAAAAUCAGGUUACUCUCAAGUCUCAAGAG
rnacentral:misc_RNA from 1 species